UGGGGAAUUUUGCACAAUGGGGGAAACCCUGAUGCAGCGACGCCGCGUGAUUUAGAAGGCCUUCGGGUUGUAAAAAUCUUUUCUAUGGGAAGAAAAUGACAGUACCAUAGGAAUAAGGACCGGCUAAUUACGUGCCAGCAGCCGCGGUAAUACGUAAGGUCCGAGCGUUGUCCGGAAUCAUUGGGCGUAAAGGGUACGUAGGCGGGUAAGCAAGUUAGAAGUGAAAUCCUGUAGCUCAACUACAGUAAGCUUUUAAAACUGCUCAUCUUGAGAUAUGGAAGGGAAAGUGGAAUUCCUAGUGUAGCGGUGAAAUGCGCAGAUAUUAGGAGGAAUACCGGUGGCGAAGGCGACUUUCUGGUCUGUAACUGACGCUGAGGUUCGAAAGCGUGGGUAGCAAACAGG
rnacentral:rRNA from 1 species